rnacentral:rRNA from 1 species
GAUGAACGCUGGCGGCGUGCCUAAUACAUGCAAGUCGAGCGAACAGACGAGGAGCUUGCUCCUCUGACGUUAGCGGCGGACGGGUGAGUAACACGUGGAUAACCUACCUAUAAGACUGGGAUAACUUCGGGAAACCGGAGCUAAUACCGGAUAAUAUAUUGAACCGCAUGGUUCAAUAGUGAAAGACGGUUUUGCUGUCACUUAUAGAUGGAUCCGCGCCGCAUUAGCUAGUUGGUAAGGUAACGGCUUACCAAGGCAACGAUGCGUAGCCGACCUGAGAGCGUGUACGGCCCCUGAGGAAGUGAGCCGCGGUCCAGACACCUAGGGGAGGCAGAAGUAGGGAAGCUUCCGAAAAGGGGGAAAGCCUGACGGAGGAACGCAGGGUGAGUGAUGAAGGUCUUCGGAUCGUAAAACGCUGUUAUGAGGGAAGACCAAAUGUGUAAGUAACUAAGCACGUGUUGACGGUACCUAAUAAGAAAGCCCCGGCUAACUACGU